GCCCUUGUAGCUCAGUUGGUAGAGCACCUGAUUUGUAAUCAGGGGGUCCCGGGUUCGAACCCUGGUGGGGGCACCA
rnacentral:tRNA from 1 species